ensembl:snoRNA SNORD51 small nucleolar RNA, C/D box 51
CUGGUUACAUGAUGAAUAAAAUCAAAUCACCAUCUUUCGGCUGAGCUCGUGAUGGAUUUGCUUUUUUCUGAUAAAGCUG